rnacentral:rRNA from 1 species
GACGAACGCUGGCGGCGUGCUUAACACAUGCAAGUCGAACGCUGAAGCUCAGCUUUUGUUGGGUGGAUGAGUGGCGAACGGGUGAGUAACACGUGAGUAACCUGCCCCCUUCUUUGGGAUAACGCCCGGAAACGGGUGCUAAUACUGGAUAUUCACUGGUCUUCGCAUGGGGGUUGGUGGAAUGGGUUUUUCUGGUGGGGGAUGGGCUCGCGGCCUAUCAGCUUGUUGGUGGGGUGAUGGCCUACCAAGGCUUUGACGGGUAGCAGGCCUGAGAGGGUGACCGGUCACAUUGGGACUGAGAUACGGCCCAGACUCGUACGGGAGGCAGCAGUGGGGAAUAUUGCACAAUGGGCGAAAGCCUGAUGCAGCGACGCCGCGGGAGGGAUGGAGGCCUUCGGGUUGUGAACCUCUUUCGCUCAUGGUCAAGCCGCAACAAUGGUUGUGGUGAGGGUAGUGGGUAAAGAAGCGCCGGCUAACUACGUG